GAUGAACGCUCGCUCCAGGCUUAACACAUGCAAGUCGCGGGGCAGCAUGGGGGUUGCUUGCAAUCCCCGAUGGCGACCGGCGCACGGGUGAGUAACGCGUAUCCAACCUGCCCUUCACCACGGGAUAACCCGGCGAAAGUCGGACUAAUACCGUAUGUUGUCCAUUGACGGCAUCCGAUUUGGACGAAAGGUUUGGCGGUGAAGGAUGGGGAUGCGUCCGAUUAGCUGGACGGCGGGGUGACGGCCCACCGUGGCGACGAUCGGUAGGGGUUCUGAGAGGAAGGUCCCCCACACUGGAACUGAGACACGGUCCAGACUCCUACGGGAGGCAGCAGUGAGGAAUAUGGGGCAAUGGGCGUAAGCCUGAACCAGCCAAGUAGCGUGCAGGAUGACGGCCCUAUGGGUUGUAAACUGCUUUUAUGCGGGGAUAAAGUGGCCCACGUGUGGGUUUUUGCAGGUACCGCAUGAAUAAGGACCGGCUAAUUCCGUG
rnacentral:rRNA from 1 species